rnacentral:rRNA from 1 species
GACGUAGGGCGCGAGCGUUGUCCGGAUUUAUUGGGCGUAAAGAGCUCGUAGGCGGCUUGUCGCGUCGACUGUGAAAUCCCGCGGCUCAACUGCGGGUCUGCAGUCGAUACGGGCAGGCUAGAGUUCGGUAGGGGAGACUGGAAUUCCAGGUGUGAGCGGUGAAAUGACGUAGAUAUCUGGAGGAACACCGGUGGCGAAGGCGGCAUCCUGGACCGGCAUUGACGCUGAGGCGCGAAAGCCAGGGGAGCAAACGGG